UACUGUGAACAGUGCUGCAAUGAACAUUGGGACUUACCACCAUGGAGCUGAUCCCACCACCUCCUGGUUCUGGGCUCCCCUGGACUUUUGGAUAAGCCAUCAAGUCCUGUUUUGUAUCAGCACGGAUCUCUAAUACACCCUUCAUCAUUCUCUGAAAAUUCUAAAAAGGAAAAGGAAAGAAAAGAAGGCCAAAGAGAAUAAAUCCUUGUGUGUAUGUUCCACGACUAAUACAUACUAUACCCCCUGUGGCAUCUAGUGUUGACUGGAUAAUUAAGUAGUUAUUUCAUAAAUGAAUUUGCUUUUGAGUAUGAAGA